GACGAACGCUGGCGGCGUGCUUAACACAUGCAAGUCGAACGGAAAGGCCCUGCUUUUGUGGGGUGCUCGAGUGGCGAACGGGUGAGUAACACGUGAGUAACCUGCCCUUGACUUUGGGAUAACUUCAGGAAACUGGGGCUAAUACCGGAUAGGAGCUCCUGCUGCAUGGUGGGGGUUGGAAAGUUUCGGCGGUUGGGGCUGGACUCGCGGCUUAUCAGCUUGUUGAUGGGGUAGUGGCUUACCAAGGCUUUGACGGGUAGCCGGCCUGAGAGAGUGACCGGCCACAUUGGGACUGAGAUACGGCCCAGACUCCUACGUGAGGCAGCAGUGGGGAAUAUUGCACAAUGGGCGGAAGCCUGAUGCAGCAACGCCGCGUGCGGGAUGACGGCCUUCGGGUUGUAAACCGCUUUCGCCUGUGACGAAGCGUGAGUGACGGUAAUGGGUAAAGAAGCACCGGCUAACUACGUG
rnacentral:rRNA from 1 species